CGGGCUUGAAAGUUAGUGACGAUACUGGAAACAGUAUUUCCCUUCGGGGCACGAAACUAGGUGCUGCAUGGUUGUCGUCAGCUCGUGCCGUGAGGUGUCGGGUUAAGUCCCAUAACGAGCGCAACCCCUGCUGAUAGUUGCCAUCAGGUAAGGCUGGGCACUCUAUCAGGACUGCCUGUGUAAGCAGGAGGAGGGUGGGGAUGACGUCAAAUCAGCACGGCCCUUACGUCCGGGGCGACACACGUGUUACAAUGGUAGGUACAGAGGGCAGCCACCCAGUGAUGGGGAGCGAAUCUCGAAAGCCUAUCUCAGUUCGGAUUGGAGGCUGAAACUCGCCUCCAUGAAGUUGGAUUCGCUAGUAAUCGCGCAUCAGCCAUGGCGCGGUGAAUACGUUCCCGGGCC
rnacentral:rRNA from 1 species